AACGAACGCUGGCGGCAGGCCUAAUACAUGCAAGUCGAACGCACCGCAAGGUGAGUGGCAGACGGGUGAGUAACGCGUGGGAAUCUUCCUUGCAGUACGGAAUAACUCCGGGAAACCGGUGCUAAUACCGUAUACGCCCUUUGGGGGAAAGAUUUAUCGCUGCAAGAUGAGCCCGCGUCGGAUUAGCUAGUUGGUGGGGUAAUGGCCUACCAAGGCGACGAUCCGUAGCUGGUCUGAGAGGAUGAUCAGCCACACUGGGACUGAGACACGGCCCAGACUCCUACGGGAGGCAGCAGUAGGGAAUAUUGGACAAUGGGCGAAAGCCUGAUCCAGCCAUGCCGCGUGAGUGAAGAAGGCCUUAGGGUUGUAAAGCUCUUUUGGCGGGGACGAUAAUGACGGUACCCGCAGAAUAAGCUCCGGCUAACUUCGUGCCAGCAGCCGCCGUAAAAC
rnacentral:rRNA from 1 species